CGGGAUGAACUGCGCCAGAUAGACGCGGAGCUGCAAAAGGCCAAGUACGAUCCCGACGAGCUGGAAAAAAUCAGGCACCACCUGAAAGAAGUCGAAAAGGCCGCCAAAAGACUGCGGGAGAUGGUGGAAAGAGUGAACGAGAAAACACGAACCGACACUGAGCCAACAACCACAGCAGCAUCAACAAUCAGCCAAACAGCAGCACCAACAGUCCGCCAAACCACGCCGGAAAUGCACACG